UUCCGUUAGCUUGACGCCGGUCUGCGGUGAUAACGGAGACACAGAUUCCUCCUGAAACACCGGCCACAUUUGGCAUUUCCCAGCCGGUAAACUGCCUGAGAUGAAAGAUGAGAGGAUUUAACGGAGACUAACGGACCCGCAGGGCUUGAAAAGUCUUCGCCAUGCUCACUCAACCGCUGAACCUGAGUGACAGUGAGAGGGGGCGGGGCCUGCCCGCCGUGACCCCACCCCCUGGCCUCCCACUGGCUGGUGAGGAGGAGACGCAGACAGGAGUCUCCUCUCCUCCUCCUCCCUGGGCCUCCUCUUCACCCUCCUCCUCCUCCC